UUGGAUUCCGGGAUAUAGUAAUGCGGAAAUAAGGUAACGGGCGCUUCGACUGUUACACGAAAAUCUCAGAAGAUAAGGUAAAAGUUGUGCGCUUUCUCACUGCUUUUUCCCGACAAUUAACAGAAAGAUAAGCAUGUAGAAGGCUUAUGUACUGCCUGUUUGGACGAGGGUUCGACUCCCUCCAGCUCCACAA
rnacentral:tmRNA from 1 species